GUUCGGAGAGUUUGAUCUUGGCUCAGGACGAACGCUGACGGCGUGCUUUAGACAUGCAAGUCGAACGAGAAAGCCCUUCGGGGUUAGUAAAGUGGCGAACGGGUGAGUAACACGUGGGCAACCUGCCCCUCGCAGGGGGACAACCGGAGGAAACUCCGGCUAAUACCCCGUACGCUUGUUGGAUCGCAUGGUCCGGCAAGGAAAGGUAGCUUCGGCCAUCCGGCGAGGGAUGGGCCCGCGUUGCAUUAGCUAGUUGGUAGGGUAACGGCCUACCAAGGCUACGAUGCGUAGCUGGUCUGAGAGGAUGAUCAGCCACACUGGGACUGAGACACGGCCCAGACUCCUACGGGAGGCAGCAGCCAGGAAUCUUGGGCAAUGGGCGAAAGCCUGACCCAGCAACACCGUGU
rnacentral:rRNA from 1 species